rnacentral:rRNA from 1 species
UACAGAGGGGGCAAGCGUUGUUCGGAAUUACUGGGCGUAAAGGGCGCGUAGGUGCGGCCGCCUAAGUCAGACGUGAAAUCCCUCGGCUCAACCGGGGAACUGCGUCUGAUACUGGGUGGCUUGAAUUCGGGAGAGGGAUGCGGAAUUCCAGGUGUAGCGGUGAAAUGCGUAGAUAUUCGGAAGAACACCAGUGGCGAAGGCGGCUCACUGGACUGGUAUUGACGCUGAGGUGCGAA